UACGAAGGGUGCAAGCGUUACUCGGAAUUACUGGGCGUAAAGCGUGCGUAGGUGGUGAGUUAAGUCUGUCGUGAAAGCCCCGGGCUCAACCUGGGAAUGGCGAUGGAUACUGGCUCGCUAGAGUGCGGUAGAGGAGAGUGGAAUUCCCGGUGUAGCAGUGAAAUGCGUAGAGAUCGGGAGGAACACCGGUGGCGAAGGCGGGUCUCUGGGCAGUAACUGACGCUGAGGAGCGAAAGCGUGGGGAGCGAACAGG
rnacentral:rRNA from 1 species